rnacentral:sRNA from 1 species
UAAUAAAAUGGCACAUUAUUCUAGUCAAUGGUAUUUAUUAUGAGGGUGGAGAUAAAAGGCCACUAAAGAGCAUACCUGUGAAACUUCUGGUGUUUGCUUCUUACGCCCAGUUUGGGGUGAAUGCUGGGAAUGAAAAUAGCGGGCAACCGUAAUGGCAUACGUCAUUGACCCGUUAUUUGUGGAGACCUAUCAUUGUUAAUUGCCUAUACACAAAUCUGUUGAUGGACAAUUGACGAUCUAGGAUUAAACCUACUAUGUGGGGUAACUUACGAGUAGUGUAGCUUGUCUUGCGUGAAAAUAUGGGAAUAAAUGACAGAUUAUCUUAUUUUGGCCAAAAUAAGAUAGUUAUUGCUUUUUGAAACUGUUUUUGCAAAAAAGAAUUAAUAAUAAAUAGUUGGUGAGGAAAUCUCCUAGAGUGUACAUGAAUAUAGGAUUGCAGUACGUACUCAGUGGUAAUCAAGCCAUACAUUUGGAAACAAUGUAUUCAUCUUUUUAAAGGGGAACCGCUUUACUGGUAACGGGAAGUAAAGAUGAGGGAAAUCCUGCUUGACCUUAAGGCGUAAAGUUUACUAUAUUGAUAGCCAUUAUUAAUAGA